CUCACAUGGACCAGGACGUGGUCCUUGGCUCCAUGGUGGAACAGGACCCAGAUCCUCAGAUAGACCAAGACAUGGGACCUUGGGAUGGACCAGGAUGUGGUCCUUGAGUCCAUGGUGGAACAGGACCCACAUCCUCAGAUGGACCAGGAUGUGGGAUGGUGGCACCAUGAGAGACCAGGACAUGCUCCUUGGGUCUGUGAUGGAACAUGGACCCCCAGAUGGACCAGGACAUGUCUUUGGGUCCAUGAUGGACCAGGACAUGGACCCUGAGAUGGACCAGGACAUGGGAUGGUGGCACCAUGAGAGACCAGGACAUGGUCCUUGGGUCCUUGGUGGAACAGGACACGCUCCUUGGGUCUGUGAUGGAACAUGGACCCUCAGAUGGACCAGGACAUGGUCCUUGGACCCUCGGAUGGACCAGGACAUGUCUUUGGGUCCGUGAUGGACCAGAAGAUGGACCCUCGGAUGGACCAAGCCCCAUCACCUCCUGAAGCCCCACCUUUCCCCCCACCUGGGCUUCUCGCCGGCACCCAUCUGGUGCAGCACGCCGUCCAUCCACGCCAGCAGGUCCCGGGCGGUGCCCACGAAGCGGAUCUUGUCGGCCACGCUGGCCACGUGCAGCCGGCACUCCUCGCACGCCGCCAGCAGCUCCUUCCACGCCCGCAGCACCUCCUGCUCGCGGCCCGCGAUGGCCUCGGCGUUGUCGCCGGCGUAGAGCGUGCGCAGCUGCGCCGCGCCCUCCUGCAGCCGCCGCACCUGCGUCACCAGCACCUCCACGUCGUGCUCGAAGGCGCCCAGCGCCCGCUGCAGCGCGCCGGCCGAGCCGCGGCCCUCGCGCGCCGCCAGCUCCGGCAGCCGCUGCCGCUUCUCCUCGAUCUGCCCCAGCAGCUCCUUGCAGUCGUUGAAGAACUUGUGCAGCUCGUGCGACGCCGCCAGCAUCUGCGCGCGCGUCUCCAUCAGCUCCAGCAGGUCGGCCCAGGCCUCGUUGACGCCGUCCUUCCACUCGGCGAUGGUGGCGGCGUCCGCGUGGCCGUAGUCGAUGAGCUCGUCCACCAUCUGGUUGACGGCGGCGAUGCGCUCCUGGCCCACGCUGCCCGUCUCGCUGGCGAACUCCAGGAACUUCUCCUGCAGCAGCUGAGGCG
rnacentral:lncRNA from 1 species